rnacentral:rRNA from 1 species
UGGGGAAUCUUGGACAAUGGGCGCAAGCCUGAUCCAGCCAUGCCGCGUGAGUGAUGAAGGCCUUAGGGUCGUAAAGCUCUUUCGCCAGGGAUGAUAAUGACAGUACCUGGUAAAGAAA